rnacentral:rRNA from 1 species
CCUACGGGAGGCAGCAGUAAGGAAUAUUGGUCAAUGGACGAAAGUCUGAACCAGCCAUGCCGCGUGAAGGAUGAAGGCCCUCUGGGUUGUAAACUUCUUUUAUCUGGGACGAAAAAGCUCAUUCUUGAGCACUUGACGGUACCAGAGGAAUAAGCACCGGCUAACUCCGUGCCAGCAGCCGCGGUAAUACGGAGGGUGCAAGCGUUAUCCGGAUUCACUGGGUUUAAAGGGUGCGUAGGUGGGUCUGUAAGUCAGUGGUGAAAUCUCCGAGCUUAACUCGGAAACUGCCAUUGAUACUAUAGGUCUUGAAUCAUCUGGAGGUAAGCGGAAUAUGUCAUGUAGCGGUGAAAUGCUUAGAUAUGACAUAGAACACCAAUUGCGAAGGCAGCUUACUACGGGUGUAUUGACACUGAGGCACGAAAGCGUUGGGGGAGUACAACAGAGUAGUAUACCUACGUAGUACACGACCGUAACCGACUAGAUACUACGACAUACAGCGAUACACUGUUGGUUGUCGUGAGCGAAGACGAUAAGUUAAUACCUACCCGUACGGUAACGGUAACGGACCGACCGACGGUUAGUAACGUACGAACUAAGUAAGUUAGUACGGACGUAGAGACGUUACGACGACGGACGGACGACGACGGGGAGGGUAGGGAG